rnacentral:rRNA from 1 species
GAUGAACGCUGGCGGCGUGCUUAACACAUGCAAGUCGAACGAGAAUCAACGGAUUGAGGAUUCGUCCAAAUGAAGUUGAGGAAAGUGGCGGACGGGUGAGUAACGCGUGAGGAACCUGCCUCGGAGUGGGGAAUAACAGUUGGAAACAGCUGCUAAUACCGCAUAAUGCAACGGAAUCGCAUGACUCUGUUGCCAAAGAUUUAUCGCUCUGAGAUGGCCUCGCGUCUGAUUAGCUAGUUGGUGAGGUAACGGCUCACCAAGUCGACGAUCAGUAGCCGGACUGAGAGGUUGAACGGCCACAUUGGGACUGAGAUACGGCCCAG